rnacentral:lncRNA from 1 species
CUCUUCACGACUUCCACCAACGCCUCAGCUCUCUCUCUCGUCUCUAUUCGCAUUCCACCGCCGACUAACGGUGCCUCAGUUCUCACUAUCAUGUCUCUUCGCCUUCCACCGCGGCCACCGGCGCCUCUCACUCUAGUCGCUCACCUCCCAGGGUCCAAAUUGAAAUAUUUCUGUAAGGGACUCUUCAAAUUAAUACCCACCCCUGUUUUGAACUUAUUUAUUUGUUUCCCUUUCUAUAAGUGUACUAUUUGAAGAAUGCAUACAUCGACAUGAUGCUUAAGCUGGCAAAAAACACAGGUUCUAGAAUUAAUCUUUUGGGUUCGAAAAGAAUCCCUUUCGAUAGAUUCCAAAUAGGGAUUCAAGAACUGAAUUUGAGAAUAGAUUGGUGAUUGAGAUUUACAAAAAUAUGGUGGCUUCUUAUGAAUUGGAUUCUAACCGAUAAGCAUGAAAUGAUUAUUAGUUUUUUUUUUUUUUUUUUUGCCCCCUUUGUUGUUGUUUAUGCAUGUUUAGAUGUGAGAAACUCACACUAUCUUCAACUAUAAACAAGUUCAAAUACUUAUUUUAAUAGUAUUUAGUUGUGGGAGUUUCGGGGUUACAGAACAGAAGUAUGGUACAUCAAUUCAGAUACUGGACUCAUCAGGCCUUGAUAAAAUUAUUAAUGAUUUCAAGAACGAUGGAAAAGGAAUGGAAAUCAAACAAAUAAUUGACAGGUACUGAGAAUUGAGUGAAAAAACCAUUGAUUACUAUCAGUGAUUUGUUGCAAUACACUUUUGCUAAUCCUUGUGGAUAUAAGUUGAAAACAGAGGACAGUCCAAUGAGUUUUAGAACAUUUGUGAAUUUAUUGGCAAAAUGUGAUUGCAGAUGGGCUUCUAAGAGACUUGAGCAUGUGCUAGUCGUAAUUAUAAAGCUCUUGAAUGAGCAAAAAGCUAAUAAUCUUAAUAGAAAAUGUGGUAAGUCUAGGCAUGAGCUAAGGGAAGAGGCAAGAAAAUCUAUUGGGGACACAGGUUUAAUUGAUUUUGUGCUCAAAUCUAUCAAAUCUUUUGUAGUAAUAAUCCAAUUAUUCGACGAACAAUAAAUCCACUAACUCGAUUAGUGGAAUUUACAAUUUAUGUUGUUGCUAAAGAAGCGGAAGGAUAGUGGCCAAUUUCAAGAAUGGAUUCUGGUUGUAGAUAUUCAAGAAAUAAACUGGAACAAGCAGCAAAAGUUGUGGUGAAUAUUUUGAUAUUUAGGAGAUGAUUCAUCCUCAACAAAUGACUUGCUUGCUUUUAGUUGUUUUGUUUUGUAUAUAAAAUGUUUAUUGUUUUGUUUUGCAAAUCUGAUAAAUCAUAUGGCAAGUUACUUAUCUUUAUUACAUGUUUUAAAUUUUAAUUGUUUGAUUUGGAGUAAGCAAGGUAGAAGAAGAUUAAAGAGGGUGGCAUUUGGACAAUUGGCCCAUCAAUUUAUCUAAGAAGGAAUAUUAAUACAAUGUGGAGCCUGCUUUGUUGAGGUGAAGAUUUUAACUAAAUUCUGAAGUGAUGUAUAAUAUCUAUCUAUCAUGACAAGGUCAGCACUCUGGUGGAUAUAUAGUUUAUAUUAUAAACGAUAUCAUAACUAAAUCUUUAAGUGAUUUCUUUAUUAGAAGCAAGAGGUUAAGCAAUACUGUUUUUUAAGCAAUACAGCAGUGAUGAGCUGAAUAUCAGUUGGAGCAUAGAAGUUAUGAAAAUGGUGUUAGUGGAAUUGAAGAUUCUGUGGAAGAAGAGUGCAUUCCGAUGAAACAUGAUGGGCACAUCAGUUGGGAGCUUGAGUAUUGGCAAUAAAUCACACUGUGUUAUUUGGAGAAUACGAGUGCAAGGGCCAUGGAGCAGAUAAAAGACGAAUAGUGUCGUGGUCUAAAGCUCUGAAUUUUGUUUUGUAAUUAUUAUAGGUAUGCUAGUAAUCAAAUAAAUAAACAAUUUGCAUGCCGUAAAAAAUUAUGUUCUUUUAUUUAUACGCACGCCAUAAAAAAAUGACUUUUUAUGUAAAAAGUCAUAUAUGGCAUUCCUACAAGACGCACUAUGAACACCAUAAAAGGUAAACAUUUUUUACGGAAUUGCUUUAUACGCCAUGCCGCACGCUGUAAACAGCUUUUUACGGCAUGCAAUGCACGCCGUAAAAAGUACAUUUUGU